GAAGUACUCCCUCCAUUCAGAAUUACUUGUCUUGAAAAUGGAUGUAUCUAGAACUAAAAUACGUCUAGAUACAUCCAUUUCUAUGACAAGUAAUUCCGAAUGGAGGGAGUAGUAA
rnacentral:pre_miRNA from 1 species